rnacentral:rRNA from 1 species
UAGGGAAUCUUCCACAAUGGGCGCAAGCCUGAUGGAGCAACACCGCGUGAGUGAAGAAGGGUUUCGGCUCGUAAAGCUCUGUUGUUAAAGAAGAACACGUAUGAGAGUAACUGUUCAUACGUUGACGGUAUUUAACCAGAAAGUCACGGCUAACUACGUGCCAGCAGCCGCGGUAAUACGUAGGUGGCAAGCGUUAUCCGGAUUUAUUGGGCGUAAAGAGAGUGCAGGCGGUUUUCUAAGUCUGAUGUGAAAGCCUUCGGCUUAACCGGAGAAGUGCAUCGGAAACUGGAUAACUUGAGUGCAGAAGAGGGUAGUGGAACUCCAUGUGUAGCGGUGGAAUGCGUAGAUAUAUGGAAGAACACCAGUGGCGAAGGCGGCUACCUGGUCUGCAACUGACGCUGAGACUCGAAAGCAUGGGUAGCGAACAGGAUUAGAUACCCUGGUAGUCCAUGCCGUAAACGAUGAGUGCUAGGUGUUGGAGGGUUUCUGCCCUUCAGUGCCGGAGCUAACGCAUUAAGCACUCCGCCUGGGGAGUACGACCGCAAGGUUG